rnacentral:lncRNA from 1 species
AAUUUUGGUACCCAGAAAAAUGACCAAAUUGAUGCUGACUAGAAAAAAAUGACUGCAAUUGGAUGGUGUUCUUUCCCAGGCCAGCAAAAGGAUCUGGUUCUUCUUGCCUCACCCUGUUCCUAAAAAUAAGAUUCCACCCCAAGCCUGAGAGCUGUGUCUUACCCACCCUCAGUCAUAGUUCCAACAUCUCUGUGCCUAGGAAAUGCAGACUUAGUGCUGUGAUCCACAGUCUUUGAGAACAUUGGGUGAGACAGCACCACACGCUUGGCCUCCGCUCUUUGUCCACACCGUUUGCUUUGAAGACCUUAACACGGUGCUGAGAAAUCAAUAAGCAGGGAUGCUGCCGACCCUGCGUGUGUCUCCUGAUCCUCCUCUGGGAGGCUCGGCUCACUUUGGCGCACUGAUAAGUUGUGAAAAGCCUAGCACCGUCUGCAAAUUAAGGCCCUUGUAAGUAAUCAAGGAAUCCCAAGCUUAGCGUGCUGUGGCUUUUCUAUCAUGAGUGUCAUUAGAUGAAACGAAAGUACAUAUUACAGGUUUGCGUAAUGAACAAGCCUCAAGUCAGGUUUGCCGUGAUAGGGUUAUCAGUCAUUGCACAAAUUAAUUAUUUAGGAAAGCACUUUUUACAGUGUGUUUUCAUUUAAGUUUUGCCCCUUGAUGUAUGUGUGUAAAAAUGACUAAUCCAUUGGACACUGCUAUUGUACUUGUGCAUCUAUCACUAUCGGGCCUUUUUUUUGUAAUUGGUUUAUUAAUUAUAGCAUCUUAAUGAUCUGUUUAAAAUAAAUAAACCAUUUGCACCAUUUCAAAGGUAUUUUGUGAGGCUCAGCUGAUAUUAAAAUAGCACCAGCCUUAUGUGCUUUUUCAGCAAGUGACCUAAUUAGUUAAUAAAGUAAUUGAAUAUUAAAAAGGAUGUUGCAAGUGAUUAAAAUUUAAGAGCCUUCAGAAUGUUAUUAAAGCUAUAAAUCAUACAUCACUGUUUUAAUUUGCAUAGCUACAGAAUUACUAAUGGUCCCACGUGCACGCAGGGCUUGGCAAUUAGUCCUUUAACAAAAUGUUGGUGAUGUUGAGAUACCAAAUUCUUUCAGCCUCUUUUGAUAGCUACAUAGAAACCUGUUUUUGCCAGAUUAAAUAUCUAACUGUUGAAAAUGCUGCUUGCUACCUUUGGCAGUUAUAGACAUUCACUCACUCAACAAAUAGUUAUGAAUAGUCUGUGUCCAAGAAUUGUUAGGUGUUGAACGUAAUGGUGAACAAAGCAGACAUGGUCCAUGGCAUUUACGCUGCGGAGCUGGUUGGGCAGAAAUACUAGUCACAGUCUUCCCUAAAAUCAUGUGUAAUUACAAAGACGAUAAGGAGCUAUUAAGGAAAAUUAUAGGAUAUUCCAAGGGCAUUUUGCUGGUGAAAUGUGACCUCAUCAGCUACAUUAUGGACCAGACAUUUAAUUCCAGGUGAAGGGGCUGGGACUUUACCCAUCAGGCUGCGAGUUCUUGUUCAAGCAGGAAAUUCCUGAUGAACCUGCCAGUGGUGUGCAGGAAGGACUGGCUGAAAUUGCUGGUUAUUUACCCAACAGCCAUUAUUCUUCCUGGCUAUUGGGAUACCAGUUCUGUUUGGGUAUAGGACUAGUGCUAUACACAGGGAAUAUAGGCCGAGGCCCUGAGAUAUAUGAUGAGAAGUCUAAACCAAUUAUUAUGAUUGUAUAUGAUUGUUUUAAGGUAGCUGUGUUCUGAGGAACUCUGAGAGGCUUUCUGGAAGAAUUUUCCACUGUGGGAAAAGAGAUACACAAGGUGAACUCUCCUUUCCUCCAUGCUUUUGGAUGUCAUCAUGAGUGGUGGUGCUACUUGGAGCCAUAGCAGCCAUAUUGAGACAAUGAGGGAGAAGACAAAACAAACAAAGCCCCUUCGCAUACCUCCCCCCAAACACACACAUUCCCUAAACCUGAGGCCUAAUAUUGUCUAGUUGCUGAACCAAUGCUGGAAACGUUGGAUGUCUGAAUAUAUGAAAGAAUACAUUUACGGUGAAUAUGCUGUUACUUGCUACCUAAAGUGUCUUAACUGAACCACAUGGGUCAACAAUGAAGACACUGGAAGUUGAAAGACAAAUUAAGAGGCUAAUAUAACUUUCAGAUGAGCAGUGAUAAAAUGCUAAACAUGCUGGGGUUGAACAACAGGAAUGGAAAGUAAAGAACAGAGCUCAGGCAUUUUGGACAUAGAAUCAACAGAAUUUGUCAACUUACUAGUUAUCCAAGGUGUCAAAUAACAGUAACUGGCAUUCACUGAAUAUUUCCUAUGUUCCAGGUAUUGUUCUGAGCAUUUUUCAUGCAAUAUCGCAUGUGAUCAUUCCAACAGCUCUAUAAAGGACUGUUAAUGGCCACCAUGGUUGAAUCCUGUUUCAGUCAUGCCUUGAUUUUUCAAGUCAAAUCCCAACAACUGCUGCUACCACCAGUGGGCAAAAGCAGAUGACUUGCUUCAGACUCCCUGGCAGAGCUGCUAGCUAGACUGCUACUUCCAACAUUUCUCACUUCACUCAUAGAAAAUUACAAUAUUUUAAAGUACAUACUGGGGUAAAUGUGAGGGGACUUGGGCAUCUAUAGUGGGCACAGCAAAAGCCUUCAUUAUUCUUUUUAUUAUAUAAGAAAACAGACAUCAAAAUUUAGGUAAGAUAUUACAUGUGGAAUUUGCAUAAAAUUUGUAUAGAAGAUUAACAUAAUCUUUAAUUUUAAGAGCAAUUUGUAUUUGCUUUUUUGAAUACAGUUUUUGAUAUCAGAUUUUAUGCUUGAAAUAGCAACUCCUGAUGAAGACUUUAAUCCUAUCAAGACUUUUAAAUCAAAUUCUUGAUAGUCAUCACUAACAAUGACCUUUGUUCACACAAGUGAUAAAAAUGAAAGCAAAAAAAUUUUUGAAACCAUUCCAAAUUUUGCAAUAUUUCAGUCAUAUAUAAAGAAACUAAUAGCUCUUCCUUUCCUACACUGUCAAUUGCACUGGUGAAAUUCCUUGAGAUUAUGUGAAUGGAUUUAAAAUGUCAGAACUUUCUUAAAAUGUUUCAAAAAAAUGAUAAUUCUUUAAUUUGUAGACCAGUCAUGCAUAUUUAGAACAGUUACGACGCCCAGCCAGCUUUGGAUACCACGGAAAGGGCAUGUCAGUGUCCAACAGAAGGAAGAAUCCAACAUGCGUGAGGACAGAUUCAGAACUGUUCCUGCCAAGAACCCCCAGCCCUCUUCCUGCCCCUGUUCCAUGCAACUGGCUCCACUUUGGCCUGGUGCUGUGCUUCCUCCAGGGCCUGCUUCAUGUGCAACCUGUGCCUCACAUUUAGACGGACCCCGUGUGUGGCCGAAUGCCGUCGUCACCAUCUUGAAAUGAAUUUUGAAUAAGGGGCUCCACACUUUCAUUUUUCACUGAGCCCUGAAAAUUAUGUAGCCAGUGCUGGCAUCUGAAAUACAAACUUUCGGUAGCUACCCUAUGCCUUUGUCCACGAUGGGUGGCAGUGAAUGUUACCACUGGCUUUUGAGAUGUGAAGCCAUUUCUUAGGGGCUGAACUCAGCUCCCUGACACGGAGCAUAACAAUCAGGGUGUCAUCAGGCUUGUCGGGUUUGAUGUUCACUUAUGUAUGGUUCACACCUUUGAACCUUGUUCCACUCAGCCACCCUGAUGAAGCCACUGAUGCUUGUGUCUAAAGUGAUGGGUUCACAGGUUCCAGGAACCGAGGAUGCACCAAUUAUAUAACUCAAGACACCACAGCUUAUCAUUUGGACAGUCUUGUGCAGAAUAUGUCUCCAGAUAUGUUACUUCUGUAAGCUCUCCAGGACCUGAGGCAGGUCUUCCAGGUCCUUGCUAAUAUUCUUUCAAAAUACAGAGUAUUGAAUUUUGAAUACUCACUCAGUGCCAGAAGAGCCUAGACAUGAAGUAUGAUCACUGAGGGUUAUAAUCCUCAAAGGACUGAAAUGGAAGGUAGAGCUGGAAGGACAUAUUCAGAAUCCUUCUGGGUACUUCCUGUGGCAUGAGAGGAUUUAAAACUGUUUCUCCCAAGCGUUUCAAAGUUGGAAUUUCUAUAUGACUCUUGCUUUAAUGCCAUAAUGUUGGUCUAUUAAAAUGACACACGUAUAUUAAUAUAUAAGGGUAUGUAAAUGUGACCAUAGACAUUAAUAUUUCCCUCUCCCUGUGUACACACACACACACACACACACACACACACACACACACAAUUCUGAGCCAGAUGACUCCUAGCCUGAGGGAAAACAGCUUCUGCCAAAACUCGUUUCAUGGAGCAACAGAUAUGCUCAGGGAAGAAAGGGAUCAAGGAGAAAUGAAGGACACACUGAGGCAUGACAAGACCCCUCAAGGGGUAGAGAAGAGGCCGUACAUGGGCCUCAGAUUCCUUGCACAGAAUACCAAAUGAAUCAUUUUCUGCCCUCAGAAGCAAUGAGCACAAAGUAUGCAUCAGUCUUAGAUCAAGGCUCUAUCCACCGAAUCCUAAGCAACCACUCUUAAGUAAAUAGUACUUUUACACUAUUAUAUAAGUACAUAUACAGCACUCUUGAAUUACACAAUCUUACGGAUACAGCAAAAAUCACGCAAUGAGAACGUUAUAGCUGUGAACGGCACAGAGUCCUAUCCCUGCUCUUUCACGCACGUACACACACACAGGCACAAAGUAGUUCUCAUGGUUAGUCAUCACAUUCAUAUGCAAUGGAAAAAAAAGCUGCCAGAGCUGCGUUCCCACUUCUUAAUAUUUUGAUUUUCUGAUCUAAGUAAGUUUUCUAACACUUAUAAAAUGGUCUGCCCUUAUUGUUACCAAUUAAUGGCUUUCCAGGGAUGAUGAGAAAGCUCUAAGAGUGGGAUAACCCAAACAGCACUGAAAUAACAGAAGUGGUUGCAGCAAGAAUCCACAAGGUAAGGAAGACAUGAGAAGCAAAGGAAAAGCUAUUCACCCUCUGAGUGACCCAUGUGUGUCACAACUUCAUGUCUCCACAUUGCUAAAAUAUUAUGCUCUGCCUUAUGGUAUGUUUGAACCCAGAUCCCUAUAUAGACCAACUUUCCUUGCAGGACUCAUCUCUAGACCUGGGGGCACGGAGAGGGGACCCUUUGGACUUCACAUCACAAAGACUUUGCCUAUAGACUGUGGCUCUACUUCCAAAUGAGGCUAUGCACCUACUCACAGGAACACAGAAAGGAUUGGAAGCUGUCCAUCAUUCAACCUGAAUUUUAAUUGUAACUUUUUUUGGUUUUUAUGGCCACACUCACAGGAUAUGGAAGUUCCUGGGCUACGAGUCCAAUCGGAGCUGUAGCUGCAGGCCUACAGCACAGCCACAGCAAUGCCAGAUCCGAGCCGCAUCUGCAACCUAUACUGUAGCUCACAGCAAUGCCGGAUCCUUGACCCACUGAGCACGCCAGGGAUGGAAUCUGCAUCCAGGGAUGGAAUCAGGAUACUAGUCAGGUUCAUAACCCGGUGAGCCAUGACAGGAGCUCCUCAACCAGAAUUUUUAAAAUAUACCACAUUUAAAACACAUUUCUUCACUUUUUAAAUGUAUUGGGAGCCUCAAAUAAUGGAAGUGGCCAGGCUCUCUCUCGACCCUGAAGAGGCCCAUGUAUGCGUCUGUGUGUCUUUUUCUGUGUAUUUGCUCACCAGUGCACAUUUUCAUAACUGGGUUGGAUGUAACAUGCUCAAUUAAUUAAGGAAUACAUUUUUAUUACCAACACUACUAUUGGUGAUAGCUCAGUCUCCAAAAGGAACUGGCCAACUGGGGAGAUUAGUGUGUACUGGCUCAUGACUGGAAGGGAACAAAGAUGUUGUAUUGUUGACACAUCUGCUUGGCCUGUUUGUGCUUUGUUUACGAUAAAAUGGGUGAUAAUGAUGUGUAAGAAGCACAGUGUUAAUGAUAGUGACAGUGUAGAGUGUGAACAAGAGCCAUGACUUUUGAGCAAGAGCUG